GUGUCUGUAGUGUAGUGGUUAUCACAUCUGCCUAACACGCAGAAGGUCCCAGGUUCGAGACCUGGCAGACACA
rfam:Sarcoptes scabiei Contig4506, whole genome shotgun sequence.